UAGAGUUUGAUCCUGGCUCAGAACGAACGCUGGCGGCAGGCCUAAUACAUGCAAGUCGAGCGCCCUUUCGGGGGAGCGGCGGACGGGUGAGUAACGCGUGGGAAUGUGCCCUUUGGUACGGAACAACACAGGGAAACUUGUGCUAAUACCGUAUGUGCCCUUCGGGGGAAAGAUUUAUCGCCAUUGGAGCAGCCCGCGUUGGAUUAGCUAGUUGGUAGGGUAAUGGCCUACCAAGGCUACGAUCAGUAGCUGGUCUGAGAGGAUGAUCAGCCACAUUGGGACUGAGACACGGCCCAAACUCCUACGGGAGGCAGCAGUGGGGAAUAUUGGACAAUGGGCGAAAGCCUGAUCCAGCCAUGCCGCGUGAGUGAUGAAGGCCUUAGGGUUGUAAAGCUCUUUCGGCGGGGACGAUAAUGACGGUACCCGCAGAAGAAGCCCCGGCUAACUUCGUGCCAGCAGGUCGGGCCCA
rnacentral:rRNA from 1 species